CUCAGGACGAACGCUGGCGGCGUGCCUAAUACAUGCAAGUCGAGCGGACCGACGGGAGCUUGCUCCCUUAGGUCAGCGGCGGACGGGUGAGUAACACGUGGGUAACCUGCCUGUAAGACUGGGAUAACUCCGGGAAACCGGGGCUAAUACCGGAUGCUUGAUUGAACCGCAUGGUUCAAUCAUAAAAGGUGGCUUUUAGCUACCACUUACAGAUGGACCCGCGGCGCAUUAGCUAGUUGGUGAGGUAACGGCUCACCAAGGCGACGAUGCGUAGCCGACCUGAGAGGGUGAUCGGCCACACUGGGACUGAGACACGGCCCAGACUCCUACGGGAGGCAGCAGUAGGGAAUCUUCCGCAAUGGACGAAAGUCUGACGGAGCAACGCCGCGUGAGUGAUGAAGGUUUUCGGAUCGUAAAACUCUGUUGUUAGGGAAGAACAAGUACCGUUCGAAUAGGGCGGUACCUUGACGGUACCUAACCAGAAAGCCACGGCUAACUACGUGCCAGCAGCCGCGGUAAUACGUAGGUGGCAAGCGUUGUCCGGAAUUAUUGGGCGUAAAGCGCGCGCAGGCGGUUUCUUAAGUCUGAUGUGAAAGCCCCCGGCUCAACCGGGGAGGGUCAUUGGAAACUGGGGAACUUGAGUGCAGAAGAGGAGAGUGGAAUUCCACGUGUAGCGGUGAAAUGCGUAGAGAUGUGGAGGAACACCAGUGGCGAAGGCGACUCUCUGGUCUGUAACUGACGCUGAGGCGCGAAAGCGUGGGGAGCGAACAGGAUUAGAUACCCUGGUAGUCCACGCCGUAAACGAUGAGUGCUAAGUGUUAGAGGGUUUCCGCCCUUUAGUGCUGCAGCAAACGCAUUAAGCACUCCGCCUGGGGAGUACGGUCGCAAGACUGAAACUCAAAGGAAUUGACGGGGGCCCGCACAAGCGGUGGAGCAUGUGGUUUAAUUCGAAGCAACGCGAAGAACCUUACCAGGUCUUGACAUCCUCUGACAACCCUAGAGAUAGGGCUUCCCCUUCGGGGGCAGAGUGACAGGUGGUGCAUGGUUGUCGUCAGCUCGUGUCGUGAGAUGUUGGGUUAAGUCCCGCAACGAGCGCAACCCUUGAUCUUAGUUGCCAGCAUUCAGUUGGGCACUCUAAGGUGACUGCCGGUGACAAACCGGAGGAAGGUGGGGAUGACGUCAAAUCAUCAUGCCCCUUAUGACCUGGGCUACACACGUGCUACAAUGGGCAGAACAAAGGGCAGCGAAGCCGCGAGGCUAAGCCAAUCCCACAAAUCUGUUCUCAGUUCGGAUCGCAGUCUGCAACUCGACUGCGUGAAGCUGGAAUCGCUAGUAAUCGCGGAUCAGCAUGC
rnacentral:rRNA from 1 species